rnacentral:sRNA from 12 species
UCCUGACAGGCGCAUUGGGCGUCUGACAUAACCCACGACAGGAGAAUGACAUG